UACGUAGGGGGCAAGCGUUGUCCGGAUUUAUUGGGCGUAAAGAGCGUGUAGGCGGCCAGGUAGGUCUGCUGUGAAAACUCGAGGCUUAACCUCGAGCUGUCGGCGGAAACCAUCUGGCUAGAGUCCGGAAGAGGAGAAUGGAAUUCCCGGUGUAGCGGUGAAAUGCUUAGAUAUGACAUAGAACACCGAUAGCGGAGGCAGCUUACUACGCGAUUAUUGACACUGAGGCACGAAAGCGUGGGGAUCAAACAGG
rnacentral:rRNA from 1 species